rnacentral:rRNA from 1 species
GUACUCUGACUGUGCAAAGGUAGCAUAAUCAUUUGUUUCUUAAUUGGAAACUAGAAUGAAAGAGUUGACAUAGAAUAAACUUUUUAAUUAAAUAUAUAAAUUGACAAAAAGAUUAAAAGGUCUUAAUAUUUUAGAGGGACGAUAAGACCCUGUGAAAUUUUAUUUACAAUCAUAUUGUAAUAUAAGUAACCAUAAUAUGUUAUAAAUUAAACUGGGGCGGUGAAAAUAACUAAACUAUUUUAAACCUAACAUAUAAGUAUGGGAUUAUAGAACAUAGGUAUACAAAAUUAAACAAAUUACUCCAGGGAUAACAGCACAAUUUCUUUAGAAAGACCAUAUUGGUAAAGAAGCUUGU